rnacentral:rRNA from 1 species
AACGAACGCUGGCGGCAUGCCUAACACAUGCAAGUCGAACGAGACCUUCGGGUCUUGUGGCGCAUGGGUGCGUAACGGGUGGGAACCUGCCCUUAGGUUCGGAAUAACUCCCCGAAAGGGGUGCUAAUACCGGAUAAUGUCUUCGGACCAAAGAUAUAUCGACUUUGGAUGGGCCCGCGUUGGAUUAGCUUGUUGGGAGGGUAAAAGCCUACCAAGGCGAGGAUUCAUAGAUGGUUGGAGAGGAUGAUCAGCCACACUGGGACUGAGACACGGCCCGGAAUCCUACGGGAGGCAGCAGUGGGGAAUAUUGGACAAUGGGCGAAGGCCUGAUCCAGCAAUGCCGCGUGAGUGAUGAAGGCCUUGGGGUUGUAAAGCUCUUUUACCCGUGAUGAUAAUGACAGUACCGGGAGAAUAAGCUCCGGCUAACUACGUG